GGAAGACAAAAAAAAGAAGAAGGAGAAGAGAGGGGGAUGCCUUCGCACUGGAGAUUGAUUCAGCCAACAUUAUUUGCCUAAGAUAACUCGUCCUCUUUCCGUGGUGACAGUGUGUGUGUAUCCUCAGUGCAGUACGGAGAGAAGGCAGAGAUCCUGCUAAUAUUUAUGCUCACACCAUGCAAGUGAUGGCGGCCCCCUGGAGCUCCCUCUGAAAGCCCGGACACCGGCUUGACAAACUGUAGCUGAGAAGAUACUCUGCUGCUUUUACGUUUGAUGGAAAGGCCAUUACAGUUAACAUACAGUGAAAUCCCAGCUGUGAAACUCAGAGUAUUGAACUCUGUCAUGCUCAAUAUUCAGUACUGACUCAUGAAAUGUUUUCUCUAGAUGUAAUGACUCUCUGAUUGUCUAUUAGUGCAGAAUCAUCUGCAUUAACAUCUACACUGUAAAGAACUGAUGCCAAUGUGUAGCGGAACACAGCAGUGAUUUACUGAAUAAAAAUGGUGCAUUCUGGGACGUACAGUUUAAGCUUCUUGUCAAAGGAGUUAAAAGAACUGUAACUUGCAAAGCAUACUGUGAUGAUAAUCAAGUGACCCGUACCUUUACAGUCUUGAGCAGCCUGUCACUUAAUAUUGAACUGAUAGGGGUGGAGCUUCCCAGCAUUCUUUGCUUUACUGUUUCCUUUAAUUUCCUUAUAUAUGUUUAGUCUACACUUAAUUUCAUUUGUUCUCACUCCAAAGAUACAUUUGAAUGAGUUUCAGAUGUUCCAACCACUAGUUGAUUAUCUACUGGUGGAAAUAUUUCGUCAUUUGCAUAAAUGUUCAAUCACCUGCUCCCAAAGGCUAGCUAGAUAUACUUGUCAUGUCUGCACAGUAUGGCUGGUCAAAACACAAAAAUCUUGGUUUAAACUAGUUUUCUACUUUA